UACGUAGGGUGCAAGCGUUGUCCGGAAUUACUGGGCGUAAAGAGCUCGUAGGCGGUUUGUCGCGUUGUUCGUGAAAACUCACAGCUCAACUGUGGGCGUGCGGGCGAUACGGGCAGGCUUGAGUACUGCAGGGGAGACUGGAAUUCCUGGUGUAGCGGUGGAAUGCGCAGAUAUCAGGAGGAACACCGGUGGCGAAGGCGGGUCUCUGGGCAGUAACUGACGCUGAGGAGCGAAAGCGUGGGGAGCGAACAGG
rnacentral:rRNA from 1 species